AGGUACUUUUUAGUACGUAGGCGCCCUGGAUGCCGAAUCGUGCAUGCUGUUAGGAAGAACCAGCAGUAUCUCUUAAAGAUUUUCUACCU
rfam:Glossina palpalis gambiensis isolate 146720 unplaced genomic scaffold Scaffold581, whole genome shotgun sequence.